rnacentral:rRNA from 1 species
UAAGGAAUAUUGGACAAUGGGCGAAAGCCUGAUCCAGCAAUGCCGCGUGAGUGAAGAAGGCCUUCGGGUUGUAAAGCUCUUUUACCCGGGAAGAUAAUGACUGUACCGGGAGAAUAAGCCCCGGCUAACUCCGUG